UACUCAGUUGCUGUAUGAAACCCAUAGA
rnacentral:sRNA from 1 species